AAUGAAGGACCUGGACAUAUUCCGAUGCACAAGAUUCCAGAGAACAUGCAAAAGCAGCUGGAAUGGUGUAAUGAAGCGCCUUUCUACACUCUUGGACCCCUGACAACUGAUAUUGCUCCUGGUUAUGAUCACAUCACCUCAGCAAUUGGUGCUGCCAAUAUUGGGGCUCUUGGUACUGCACUGCUCUGUUAUGUGACACCCAAAGAGCAUCUUGGCUUGCCUAAUCGAGAUGAUGUAAAGGCUGGAGUUAUAGCUUAUAAGAUAGCUGCACAUGCCGCUGAUUUAGCAAAAGGGCAUCCUCAUGCUCAAGCCUGGGAUGACGCACUGAGCAAGGCAAGAUUUGAGUUCCGUUGGAUGGACCAAUUUGCAUUGUCAUUGGACCCCAUGACUGCAAUGUCCUUCCAUGACGAAACCCUGCCAUCCGAAGGCGCUAAAGUGGCACAUUUCUGCUCUAUGUGUGGACCAAAAUUUUGCUCUAUGAAGAUCACUGAGGACGUCAGGAAAUAUGCGGAGCAGCACGGUUAUGGAAGUGCAGAGGAAGCUGUUAAGCGUGGGAUGGAUGCCAUGAGUGCUGAGUUCUUGGCUGCCAAGAAAACUGUGAGUGGGGAACAACAUGGUGAGAUUGGUGGAGAAAUCUACCUGCCUGAAACUUACGUGAAGUCUAUCAAAAUCUGAAGGUAAUACUGAUUUUACUCUUGUUACGUCCGUCAUUCUAUUGAUUUCAAUAGAAAUGAGAUAAUGAUAAGAAAUCUCGUCUUGUGAGACUACGGGCCAAUGUCAGUGUGAAAUAUUAGGUGCAAAAUUUCUGCUUACAUUUCCCAGUCAUGUUUUGUCAUCUUUAUUAAUCUUCAAGAAAUCUACAUUGCACUUGGUCAUCAUAUAAUGAAGAAAAGUUCAGCAUGAUACAUUAGCAAAAUCCAUAUCUAGGGUUUCCUAGCUUUCGUACUCAUAUUUUACUGUCAGACUCAUGAUACAAGUGAUUGAAUUGUUGGAUAUUCUUGCUUUAAACAUCUGUCUUCCAAGUUAUUCUAAAAUACCCUUGCUAGAUGUUUUAUGAGUUGAAACGGAUAUCUGAUUGGUGUCCUUUUGCAGGAUAACCUAAAAAUUGGGAACUGGUUGUGGACUCCAUUGGCAUCAUCCUACUUUGGCUAGUUGAGAUCUUCCGGAGGGGUUAGGAUCUCCUUCUUAAGCAAUAGGUAAGCAUGUAGUUCAGUUUGUUAAAUAACUUAUGACAUUGUCCUUGUGGAUGAAUGUCUAGACUCUAGGUUGUCUUGAUUGUCAGUUACGAGAAUCCUGUCAUCAUUAUCUAUUAUCUAUUCAAAGUAUGCUUUCCUUUUUGUUGACGCAAAAAAGCACCAGGGGUGUCUGUACCUGCCGGCAGCAGCUAUUUUGUUAGGAUGUUUGGCAGGGCAGGCUGAGAAAGUCCCUUUGAACCUGAACAGGAUAAUUCCUGCGUAGGGAGCGUGCAUUUUCUCUUCCGUUUUUUGUACAGGGAUGGAAGUUCAUCCUUCAUACGGCCUUGCCAAUCCAUGUGGGACGGGUUUAGCUCCAUGGUCAGAACAUUUCUCUUGCCAGGCAAGUUGACUAGGAAAUGAUAAACUCCAACAUUUGCUGUGCCUUUUUCCCAGCAUACAGUUAGCCAAACUCCCUCGAUUUGUAGGUCGUAUACUAAAACCAUGUCUUCCCCCUCCAUUGAGCCAGAAUCAAGGGAAAACCUGAAAUUAUGUAUUUGCUCGAAGUAGCUAAGAAGGAACAAGUGCUAAUCCAGUUUCUCAAAAGCCUGAAAUUUCUUGGUUAAACAAUUCAACUUGAGACUUUGAUUUUUCAGUUAUUAAUAUAGAAUAGGAAGACUGUAUGUUGACAGCAAAAAUCAUACCACUAUGAAGUAAUCUGGGAAUUCUGCAAAUCGUGUCAACCCAACAAAAGGUAACGUCUACUUAGAGUGUAUGUAGAUUUACCAAUCGUAGGAAGUGUCUUAAAACGAAUUUAAAAUGUCAUGCUGGGGUGAAUCUAAAGAUGUCAUACUGGAGCAAGAGAAACUAGGCUGAUAUUUGCCGCAAACGAAGAAGAAAAAAGGGUGCGCUGGGAGAGAGAGAGAGCUUGUACGUGUGCUGAAAGAAAGAGAGCGUUUACCAACAUUUGAUUUUGUUCAAAUGCUCGGGCUGUAUCAGCAAGUCUAGUGAUAUACCUUUCACUCUCUCUUUAUUUUUUUUCCCCCUUGAGGGUUGCUUUUCUCAUGUUCAGAACCCUCCCAGUGCAACAGAUGAAUUUUGAACGAGGGUUAAACUUUAGCAAGGAGCAGGGAUAUGCUCAACGAUACGAACAUUGGAAACAGUAAACCAAAUUAGGCCAAAUCCCAACUCAGUUAGGAUGGGCAACGCAAAAGCAUAGCCCGCAGAAAUUUAUUGAAUCUGCACCAUGUACCAGAUACCAAGAACCUCUAAUGUGAUUGUCAAAUCUUUCUGGACUUCUCUGUUGUCAAAAUUGUUGUCUGUUAAGUUUUAAAUGGUCUAGUUGUUCUAAUUUAUGGUCGACUAACUAGCUAUACUCUUUCCUUCUAAAUUAUAUCAUCAUUACUAAGGCAUUCAUUUUGUAUCACUGUGUUUUUCCUUUUGAUUUUGGUUUAUCAGUUGUAAGUACACUUAUCAUUUUCUUACAGGUGGGUCUGCCUGGGACAGGUAAGACACUUUUAGCAAAGGCUGUUGCUGGGGAAGCUGAGGUACCCUUCAUUAGUUGUUCAGCCAGCGAGUUUGUAGAACUUUAUGUCGGUAUGGGAGCGUCCCGUGUCAGGGACCUUUUUGCUCGAGCAAAGAAAGAAGCACCAUCAAUAAUAUUUAUAGAUGAGGUUUUUUCCGCUCACCCUUUCAUCUAGCUCUGUCUUUUACCUGUCCAUGGUUUCGCUUUCUCUAUAUAUGUCUAGUAAGCAUCUUGCUGUCCUAGGUCACAUUAGAUGAUCAUUUACGAUAUUCUUGAUUUGCAGAUAGAUGCUGUAGCAAAAAGCCGUGAUGGUAGAUUUCGCAUUGUCAGCAAUGAUGAGAGAGAACAAACAUUGAAUCAAUUGCUCACAGUAAGGUUUUAGGAAGGUGUUGUUCCUGCUUGACAGAUAUAUUUUGCUUGUUUGGGUGGAUUAAUGGGUUAGAAAUUUGCUGCAGGAAAUGGAUGGAUUUGACAGUAACUCAGCCGUGAUAGUUCUAGGAGCAACUAACCGGUCAGAUGUCUUGGAUCCAGCGCUUAGGCGGCCUGGGAGGUUUGAUCGUGUGGUUAUGGUUUGUAAAAUGUUCCUAUGCUAUAUUUUAAUACUAGGUUGUUGAAGUUUAACGUAGACCUACCAUUAGAGUUGCCUCAGAAAUGAGUCAUUAGGUCAUAUUUUCUUUUGCUUCAGGUGGAAGCACCUGAUAGGACUGGAAGAGAAGCCAUUUUGAAAGUUCAUAUUACUAGGAAAGAGCUUCCUCUUGCAGAGGAUGUUGAUAUUGGUGAUAUUGCUUGUAUGACAACUGGUUUCACUGGGUAAAUCGUUCUCCUUUUCUGAUUUAAUUAGGAUUUUGGACAUUCUCGUUCUGUUGUCUAACUAAAUUUGUCAAAACUUAGAAACUGAUGUUCUAUUUUUGUGCAUUGUACAGGGCAGACCUUGCAAACCUGGUAAACGAAGCUGCUCUGUUGGCUGGAAGACAAUCAAAACUGGUUGUGGAGAAAAUUGAUUUUAUUCAAGCUGUCGAGAGGUCAAUAGCGGUUAGUUGUUUCCUGCUGUCAGCCUUUCUCGUGUACUUUUGGCUAUGUUAGUGAAUAACAAAAUACGGUACCUUGGCUACCUACACAUGUCAGUCUAUGCUUGGCUUGUGCCUGUCUGUUUCUCUUCCUUGGCCCUGGUAGUGGGGAAAGGGAUAUGCAAUCAGCGCCUGCUGAUUUAUUAUAUUUCACUGAGUGUGAUAGUGGUUAAUUUUAGCACUAAUGUUGAGCUGUGCUUUCUUUGUUGUGAGAUUAUAUAGUCUUAUGUCAAUCUUACAGGGAAUUGAAAAGAAGACUGCAAAGUUACAGGGUGGUGAAAAGGCUGUAGUUGCUCGACAUGAAGCUGGUCAUGCAGUGGUUGGAACUGCUGUUGCAAAUCUUCUUUCAGGACAGCCGCGGGUGGAGGUAAAUGUUACAGUAGUACUGUAAAAGUCUCUCCCUCGAAAAAAAAUUUGUGUAUGUCUUUGUGUCUGUGCCUGUGUGCCAAUUUCCUUUUCUGUGGGACUCCUCAGGUGCGUUAGGUUCUGAUAAGCAUUUUUGUUUUUCAGAAGCUGAGCAUUUUGCCAAGAUCUGGAGGGGCCUUAGGGUUUACAUAUAUUCCUCCAACCAAUGAGGACAGAUAUUUGCUCUUCAUUGAUGAGUUACGGGGACGUUUGGUUACUCUUCUUGGUGGACGUGCAGCUGAAGAGGUAAUAUACUCGGGACGUGUAUCUACUGGUGCACUUGAUGACAUACGGCGAGCAACUGACAUGGCUUACAAGGCAGUUGCUGAAUAUGGUCUGAAUGAGACCAUAGGUCCUGUUUCAUUGGCAACUCUUUCUGGUGGUGGAAUUGAAGAUGCUGGGUCCAUGCCUUGGGGAAGGGAUCAGGUCCUCCAGAUUGUACAUAAAUUUUUGACAUUUUCUAGUCUUGCUCUACUUCUAGCUGAAAUUCAUUUUCUUUAACAUCAACAGGGGCAUCUUGUUGGACUUGUCCAAAGAGAGGUUAAAACACUGCUGCAAUCUGCUCUCGAAGUGGCACUCUCAGUUGUGCGUGCCAAUCCUACCGUUCUGGAGGGACUAGGGGCCAAGUUGGAAGGUGCUUUCGUGAAUUUUUUUCCUUUAUACUUAUAGAAUUUGUAUGAAUAUGCCGACACAAGUUAUGAUCAAACCAUUUCACUAUAUUAACUCAACUAAUUGAUGCAGUGAAAACUUAAAAUGUGGAAGGGGGGAGGGAAGUAGGAGAUAAUGGGCUUUUUUUUUCACACGUGUGUGUGUGUGAAUCCGUAUUUUUUCCAGGCUUGAAUUAAAGGGUGGGUGGGUGGCAGUGUUGGGAAGGGUAAGAAAUUUGCGCUGUUUUUCACUGGCAAGGUGUGAGAACUGCUAGGUAUACUCAUGCCAAAAGUAAGUGUCAUUAUUGUGAAGGGAUGGCAGAUGCUAAAUAGUUUUCUCGAUCCUUUUUUUUCCCCUUCUUCAGAAAAGGAAAAAGUGGAAGGUGAAGAGCUGCAAGAAUUGUUGAAAUUAGUUGUUGCGCCAGCAGAGCUCACAUACUUUGUUAGGGGCAAGCAAGGGUCACUUCUUCCACUGCAAACAGGUCCUCGAUGACAAAAGUUGCUAAAUCGUGGUCCCUGUAUUUGGUUCAUGAUUUAAUUGAUCCAUUCUCCCAUCUCGAGCAGAUGAAAGGGUAGGACUUAGUUUGGUUGGAGUUAACUUGCCUGCGCAACCUCAUAUAUUUCCAUAAGGUAAUUGGUUUCGCUUUAGUUUCCACCCCUGGCCUCCAUAAUUGUACCCUUUGAUAGCUUGUGCAGAAGGCAACCGUGAGAUAUCUGACUAUACCAGGACGGCAGACUGCUCGUGUGUCCUGUAUCUAUGGGUUGAGAGAAAAGUGGCACAUGAUUGUCGUGGCAACUUUGUUUAGUUUCUGUUGUACAUGCAGCUUUGUUUAAUAAGUACUCGACAACUCUUAACUAAUGAUACCAAUGUAUAUGAUGUUGAUUCCCCAAGCCAUAGGAUUGUUCCACAUCAUCCUAGUAAUAUUUGAGCAGAACAAGGUGGUGUAGUCAGCAAUCUGGGAAUAGUUCCUGUAACUGUAAUUUGAUUAUACUUGUUAGUGCACAAAGUUAAUGAAUCAGUCAAUAAAGCUUACUGCGCUUUGUUCUACUUUGUUAAAAGCAAGAAAAUGGAAGAAGUUUAGCUGCAGAUGAAUUACUUUGCAAGUAGUAUGAAAGGCUUUUCAUCUUCAUCUAUAAAAGAAAUAGAUUUGCAGGGGUGGAGUUGAUCUCAUCGUACUUGCUGACAUUCAGGGCUUCUCAGCUCUACGAGAAACAGGUGUACGUGGGGUAGAGCUCUAUGAUACUUGGCGACAUUCACAGGAUGGAACUCGUUGCGCGUCAGUGUCAAAAUUCGAAGUUUUUGAUUCAAAAUUCGCAGGUUAUUGCAGAAAUUUCGCGAAUGAUCUUAUUCACCACCGUAUGUAUCUUUGAUAAGAGAUUUCCGGUGGACUAUUAAGUCAUAAUAAUAAAAUGUGUCUAGCAUCCCAUCUCUGUGUUUAAGCUGAGACAGGUGGAAUCAGGUAGUGAUUGGGUGUUCGGAUGGGAUGGAUCCACUCUUGCAAGCCCACAUUUUGUUAAAUUUUGCUCCCGGUCACCAUUUUUAAUGAAUUUCUUUCAACGGUAUAAAUAAUGUAGAGAUUAUUAUUAUGGCUUGUAAUGUGCCUGGAAGAAAUUGGUGGGGUUCGGGAGCUAAAGCAGAAUAUAUUAUUGAACGUGAUGAGGCUGGAGAUUCAAACACGCUGAUAUUUUCAGAGGAGACGAAAUAUCAAUAUGUUGCUUUCUUUCUGAAGUUGGGUGACUCUCAUUGCCAGUGGACGGUCCUGUGGAAGGAGAAAAAAGAAAAAGAAGAGGACUGGAGAAGGUGUGUGGACGCUUGAAUUAUUGUUGUCCAUCGUCAUCAUGUCAUUAUCCGUCUGGACGACAUCUCUUUGUAUAAUUUAUUACUAAGCCUUGCUGAGAAAGGGUUGUUGAAGUUCUUAAUAUUUGGAUUUUCUUUUCGGACUAGGAUAUUAAUUAUAUGUCAAAUAGUAAUAACUUCCACGCAAAAAACAAAGAGCUUACAAACCAAAUUUAAACCCGCAUUUCUUUUUAUAUAUUUUUCUUUGACUGACCUAGUUUUUCAUUUAAAGGGGUACACACAUCCGUUGUCUCCUCCACUUUUUUUGAACAUAAUGAUGCGAAUUGGGUUUUAAUGAGUUCAAAUAUGCAACGUCAAGUAAUUCCCUUUCUCGAUCCGAGAAAUGCAUUGUUAGAACUGGAUUGAAUUUUAACACUUACUCUUUUUUUUUCUUGCAUAUAUACAUAUAUGUAUGCACUAAAAUCUCUUUUAAAUCGUAUUCCUUUUGCACAUAUUAGACGAAUUCAAAUAAGAAAUAAAUUUUGGAAUAAGUUCCGCCUUGCCAUCACCUUGUCAAGAAGAAAAAUUCGUCAAUUCCAAACUUUUAUUGGGUGUGAGAAUAUGUUUCUGUUUUAUUCAUCAAACUUACAGGGAUAGGCUCAGGGACUCUUCCUUGGUUGGGCUCCUAGUAUAAAUAUCUAAAACUGCGGGGUCCGGUAGAAAGCCACGUAAGCACUCACUCUUACAAUCCUGGCAACGUCGUCCUUUACUUUCCAGUCCUAUAAAUGGAAAACCCCAAACCCCCACACCACCAAAGACCUCUCAUCCGGAGUCUAGGGACUGUGGUCACUCUCACAGAGUGAAAAGAAAAAGGAUAAGAAGGCGAUCGUACUGUGAGGUUCGUCUUCUUUCAAAAAAAUCUUAAUUUGUCGUUGAAUAUCUGCAUUUUAUGCAAACAUAUGCAAACGAAAUUUACUCCAUAAUUUUGAAUUUCAAUAAUUCGGUGAAACAUGAUUUUGUUGAAUGUUGUACACUGCCUUUUUUUUUUUUGGUUUAAACCUGUAAUAUUUUUUUGUUAUUUUUUAAGUUUAAACCCGUAAUUGUUAUAUGCUUCUGCAAAAUCAUACCCAAGAAGAUUCUCUGAGGUUUUGUGGCCACUACAGGCCAUCAUGUAAGUAAGGAAAUUAAUUGUAAAUUGCUUCAGUUAUCCCAAUUACUGCUGAAAGUUGUAUUGUCUGCACCAUAACCUUGCUUUUCCGGAGGCGGAAAACUGUCCUGAUUAUGCAGUUAACGUGUGUAUUAUUGGUAAUUGUAGUCAACUAAUUACUGUCUUCAUCCAUUUUUACUUAUUUAUAUAUUUGUGUUGUCCACUAUUAGCCUGUUCAGAGAAAUGGCUUCAGUGCAAGCUACUUUGACACCAGCUGCAUGCAAGAAUGGGAACUAUUCUUCCCCGAUGAAGUUCUCGAAUAGCUCCUUCUUGCCUGGGUUUGAUGUGACCGGACAAAUUACUGGAAUAAGGAAGAAGGAUUCAUGGUCGACCCAUCUGUCUGGCGUUAGAGCCACUUUAACAUUUGAUCACCCUACAACCAAUAAGGAGAACUCCAAGCAAAGGAAGCACACUGUGGAUCCCAAUGCUCCUGAUUUCCUCCCUCUCCCAUCCUUCGAAGAAUGCUUCCCGAGGAGCUCCAAGGAAUACACGUGAGUGUUUUGCAAAUUCUAUGGUAUUUGUCAGUGGUCAUGAUUUUCAUAUUGCUCUGAUUUUGAGAUAUAUUUCUUUCAUGCAUGUUCAAACUUGUAGGGAGAUGACUUGCUAAUUUGCAUUCCAUGUCGUCUAUGUAUGUGUAAUAAUGUUUACAAUUGACGGUGCAAUAAGUAUACUUCACAGGGAGGUUAUUCAUGGACAAUCUGGAAAUGUACUUAAAGUUCCUUUUCGACGUAUCCACCUAUCAGGGGAUGAACCUCAUUUUGAUGCUUAUGACACCAGUGGCCCCCAAGAUAUUAACCCCCACAGUGGUAAGGUUAUCUGUUACUACUCUUUUCAAGGAAUCUUGUUGCUACGCUGCAGCAAAAAGGAGAAUGACAUAUUUUAAGUGUUUUGUCCUUUUGGUAACGUACGUUACUUUUGUCUUCUUGAUUGGCCAAGAUAUCAUAGUAUCAAUUAACCAUACAUGUGUAAACGGUACUGGUGAUCAGGUCUUCCCAAACUGCGCAAGGACUGGGUUGAUAGGAGGGAGAAACUCGGUGGGCCAAGAUACACACAAAUGUACUACGCUAAGCAGGGAAUCAUAACUGAAGAGAUGGCAUUUUGUGCUGCUCGUGAAAAUCUGGAGCCAGAAUUUGUGAGGUCAGAGGUUGCUCGUGGCCGUGCAAUCAUACCGUCAAACAAGAAGCACCUAGAGUUAGAGCCAAUGAUAGUUGGAAGAAAUUUCUUGGUGAAAGUCAAUGCUAAUAUUGGAAACUCUGCUGUUGUGAGUUCUAUCGAGGAAGAAGUACAUAAGCUUCAAUGGGCAACAAUGUGGGGUGCUGAUACCAUUAUGGAUCUCUCAACAGGUCGUCACAUUCAUGAAACUCGUGAGUGGAUCCUACGUAACUCUGCUGUACCUGUUGGUACAGUACCAAUCUAUCAAGCACUAGAAAAAGUGAAUGGUAUUGCUGAGAAUUUGAGCUGGGAAGUUUUCAGAGACACCUUAAUUGAGCAAGCAGAGCAAGGUGUAGAUUACUUCACCAUCCAUGCUGGAGUCCUUCUCCGUUACAUUCCGCUGACAGCAAAAAGAAUGACUGGAAUUGUUUCUCGUGGAGGUUCUAUUCAUGCAAAGUGGUGCUUAGCUUAUCACAAAGAGAAUUUUGCUUACGAACAUUGGGAUGAAAUAUUAGACAUAUGCAAUCAGUACGAUAUAUCCUUAUCGAUAGGUGAUGGUUUGAGGCCUGGAUCCAUUUAUGAUGCAAAUGACACUGCUCAGUUCGCAGAGCUCCUAACUCAAGGAGAAUUGACUCGUAGAGCUUGGGAGAAGGAUGUACAGGUAUAAUUUUGAUCCCAGGGUGUGCAUCAAUUUUGGUGAUACUUCUUUGCUCCUCUUUAAUACACGGUUGAGGUGAUAUUGUUUGUGAUUGGAAGUAGUUUAUUUCUAUCAUGGUACUUGUUGUAUGAAUCUUGAUCUCUAUACAUAACUGGUGCCUCUAUCUAUUGAUUGGAGAGUCACACGGUCUUCUUCAUGUUCUUUGCAUGGUAGAUAAGAUAGCCGCAAGCCAUUUUCCACUAACUGAUGCAGUAGUUCUAAUCUUCCGUGCUCUCCCUGCAAAAGGUGGAUAUUUGGUAGUUUUCAGUUGCAUUGAUGGAAUCUUGCUGUUUGUUUUAUGGUCAUUUGUUUGUUGGCUUAUUAUUGUGAUUAACAGCAUGCUACUUGUUAUUCAGGUCAUGAAUGAAGGACCUGGACAUAUUCCGAUGCACAAGAUUCCAGAGAACAUGCAAAAGCAGCUGGAAUGGUGUAAUGAAGCGCCUUUCUACACUCUUGGACCCCUGACAACUGAUAUUGCUCCUGGUUAUGAUCACAUCACCUCAGCAAUUGGUGCUGCCAAUAUUGGGGCUCUUGGUACUGCACUGCUCUGUUAUGUGACACCCAAAGAGCAUCUUGGCUUGCCUAAUCGAGAUGAUGUAAAGGCUGGAGUUAUAGCUUAUAAGAUAGCUGCACAUGCCGCUGAUUUAGCAAAAGGGCAUCCUCAUGCUCAAGCCUGGGAUGACGCACUGAGCAAGGCAAGAUUUGAGUUCCGUUGGAUGGACCAAUUUGCAUUGUCAUUGGACCCCAUGACUGCAAUGUCCUUCCAUGACGAAACCCUGCCAUCCGAAGGCGCUAAAGUGGCACAUUUCUGCUCUAUGU
rnacentral:lncRNA from 1 species